UAACUUUCAAUAAUUAAGUGAUAUUGCACCAGUAACUUAAAUGUGAAAGAAAUGAUUAGAAAGAAAACAUUUCUCAGAAUUAAAACCCCUUCAGUUGGUCUGCCCCAGUGAUGUCAGCGAUGACAUCAUCAAUCUUAUAAAUACCCAGGAAGUGCUGAGUCAGACCCUUUUAGCUGCAUGGGACCACAUGGGGAACUGAACCAAAUAACAAACAAAGGUAUCAAAAUCAAGGCCCGCAGGCCGAAUCCGGCCUGACAGCAGGUUCCAUCCGGCCAGCGAGACGUUUCUGGGAAGAAGGGGGACAUCUUUGAAAAACAAAUGUGACCAUGAUGCAGCCAGACUGAAGCAGCAUGUUGUGAAGGUGGACGCCAUCAUCUUGUCUUUGCAGUGCUGAUUCUGAAGAGAACGCCUUCAUAUAGGACUCAAAGGAAAUCAGUGCUUAAAGGAAACAGCAGUACAGACUCUGAUUCCAGCUCCGUAAAUGCCCUCAGAUUCAGAUCCAUCAGCAACCCCUGACAACAUGGAGGACUCGUCCCUGAGCGUUUCCUGUCCUCUCUCCAUGGAGUUCUUCUCUUCAGUCAUUAACUCUUGAAAACAGAAGCACAACAUGCCAGACUGUUUGACAAGUCUGUGAUUGAAUAAAUGGAAAUGGAAUCUCAUGCAUAUCUUGUUAUGCUUAUUGGCUUUAAAUGUUUAGUAUUAAAUAAGUUUGAAGGCCAUUUAUCUCAGACGAGACCGGCUGUGACAAGCUGAGCUCGUCUGUUAGCUUUGCUGUUGUCUUAGCUGUUGUUGGUCUAGAAGAAAUUAAUGUCAGUUCAAGGCCUUUUCAAAUGUGAGCUAUAAACUUAACUGCUAAAUUAUUUUACUGUGACCAACACUUUGUAGUGCUCCAGUUAAUCAGAGACAGUCAAUUCAGAUUUUAAAAAAGUUUAUUUAAACAUUUUAUGAAAAACAAAAAACUUCAAUAAACAACCCCUGGCUUCAUUAACCAUGUGGAAAAUAAGUAAGGGAGACCAACAGGUUGAACUGCUGGGACAUAGGAGAAAGUAUAAAAAAUAAUUUAACAAAGAUCUCAAGAAAAAUCAAAUGAAGUAUAAAGAUCCUGGCUGAUUGUUUGACUGUUAAAAUAUGAUGGAAAAGCAAAUCCAACACAACCCUCCAGCAUCUGGCCUUUCAAACACAGGGCAACAUCAUGUAAAAAAA